GAUGAAGAACGUAGCGAAAUGCGAUACGUAAUGUGAAUUGCAGAAUUCAGUGAAUCAUCGAAUCUUUGAACGCAUAUUGCGCUCUCUGGUAUUCCGGAGAGCAUGCUUGUUUGAGUAUCAGUAAACACCUCAACUUCCAUAUCUUUUUUUGAAAUGGGAGUUGGACUUGAGUUAUCCCAACGCUUUUCCUCACCGAAAAGUGGCGGGUUACUUGAAAUGCAGGUGCAGCUGGACUUUUCUCUGAGCUAUAAGCAUAUCUAUUUAGUCUGCCUAAAAAACAGAUUAUUACCUUUGCUGCAGCUAACAUAAAGGAGAUUAGUUCUUGUGCUGACUGAUGCAGGAUUCACAAAGACAGCUUCGGGCGACUUUGUAAACUCGAUCUCAAAUCAAGUAAGACUACCCGCUGAACAUAAGCAUAUCAAUAAGCGGAGGA
rnacentral:misc_RNA from 1 species